rnacentral:rRNA from 1 species
GGGUCAGUAGGCUGGUCGUGCCACCGGUACGUACUGGUCUCACUGAUUCCUCCUUCCUGAAGAACCGUAAUGCCAUUAAUUUGGUGUGGCGGGGAAACAGGACUGUUACUUUGAAAAAAUUAGAGUGUUUAAAGCAAGCUAACGCUCGAAUACAUGAGCAUGGAAUAAUGAAAUAGGACGAUCGAUCCUAUUUUGUUGGUUUCUAGGAUUGACGUA